UACAGAGGUCCCGAGCGUUGUUCGGAUUCAUUGGGCGUAAAGGGUGCGUAGGCGGUCUUCUAAGUUUGAUGUGAAAUCCCGGGGCUCAACCCUGGAAUUGCAUUGAAUACUGGAGGACUAGAGUAUGGCAGAGGUGUGUGGAACUCCGAGUGUAGAGGUGAAAUUCGUAGAUAUUCGGAAGAACACCAGUGGCGAAGGCGACACACUGGGCCAUUACUGACGCUGAGGCGCGAAAGCGUGGGGAGCAAACAGG
rnacentral:rRNA from 1 species